ACUAUUGGGCUGCUUCAAAUGUGUCGGGUUCUUCCUUCUAAACAUGUGCUGCUCCUACUUCAAAUCAAUAAUUCUGCUAUUGAUUUGAAGACUGAUGUUGUGGAAAAUGUUGCCCGUUGCUUGGAUACCAAUAAAAUCUUGUGUUUCUUGGACACCUAAAUAAAUCUUGCAGACUGACUUUAGUAGUCAACACUAAGAUUGCAGAGAGAACUUAUUUUCCUAUAAUUUAUUUGUGUCGGUACUUCAAAAAGAUGUGUAUCAUAAUUUUAUGUUGUGACCUUUAGUAUAGAAGUCAUACUUUGAUCAUAUCUUCUUUCUGUUUCUAGGUACCAUAGGUUAUAAUAGAAAGUCAACACUAAGUCAUACUCUGAUCACUUUGAUAUGAUGGGACUAAUUGUGGUUGGACCAUGUUCCAACAAUCCUCCAGAUUGGAAGAUCCUAGCUAGAGAAUAUUUGGUCUGUUGCUGGUUGAAUGGGAACCAUUGUUAUUUCUCUUAAUGAUUAUUUAUUUAUUUGAUGGUAAGCUUGGCUUGAAAAGCCAAGUCCUCAAUGUUGAACAGUAGGCUGCCUUUCGUUUGGGACUCAAACCCUACUAUGUCAGACCAUUGUUGUAUUUUUUUUUUCCUAAACCGUUUAUGUAUAGGUAUGGUUAGGAUGUGUUUGGAUGAUGCCUGUAAAUGGGGUUAACUGUAAAUCAAUGAUUUACAGUUAAAUGGUUUAUAGUCUGUGUUUGGAUGCUGAAAAUUGCCUGUAAAUGCUUUUCUACGGCUUGCAGGUUUUGACCCUUCCACUUUCAUGCUUGAUUAAAGUUCUCCUCUACCCUUUAAUUUUACAGAUGGUGGAAAAGAUAUUUUAUUUGAUAGUUGUAUCAUGGUGAUCCAGUGCUAAAUCCUCUUACACCUUGGGAUAGACCUCCAUUGAAAAAUAUUUUCUGUAUACAUGGGAUAGAUAUGAAGACUGAGGAUUUACAUCACUUCAGCCUAAAUUUAGACCAUAUAGAGGAUUUGUUUUUUUUCUUUUUUCUUUUUUUUAAAAUUCAAGACCAUUUUCAAUUUAUUGUAAUAAAUAUUAUAUUUCUUUUAUUGUGUAGUAAUAUAAAUUUUGUUUAA